rnacentral:tRNA from 1 species
CGGAGCGUGGGUCAAUGGCUGACCACCAGUUUUGGGAACUGGUUUAUGAAGGUUCGAUUCCUUUCGCUCCGA